UACAGAGGGUGCGAGCGUUGUCCGGAAUCACUGGGCGUAAAGGGCGCGUAGGCGGCUUGAUAAGGUUGCGGUGAAAGCCCGGGGCUCAACCCCGGGUCGGCCGUGGCAACUGUCGAGCUGGAGCACUGUAGAGGCAGGUGGAAUUCCGGGUGUAGCGGUGGAAUGCGUAGAGAUCCGGAAGAACACCGGUGGCGAAAGCGCUCUGCUAGGCCGCAACUGACACUCAUGGACGAAAGCUAGGGGAGCGAAUGGG
rnacentral:rRNA from 1 species